UACCAGCACCCCGAGUGGUCCGGGCGAUUAUUGGGCCUAAAGCAUCCGUAGCCGGUCCUGCAAGUCUUCCGUUAAAUCCAGCUGCUCAACAGAUGGGCUGCGGGGGAUACUACAGGGCUAGGAGGCGGGAGAGGCAAGCGGUACUUUAUGGGUAGGGGUAAAAUCCGUUGAUCCAUAGAAGACCACCAGUGGCGAAGGCGGCUUGCCAGAACGCGCUCGACGGUGAGGGAUGAAAGCUGGGGGAGCAAACCGG
rnacentral:rRNA from 1 species